ACUGAGUCUGCAGAAGGGCAGAAAGAGUCAAAAGCACGGCAGCUGAAUUUACCAGAGGUUGGACCAGAAGGCUUUGCUACAAAAGGCCCGGGUCGGCGCUCAAAGAGACGGAAUUCGUCCAGCUAAGCCCGAGCCGGGCCCUCGAGGUGGAGAAGGCGGCCCCUCCAGGACAGGCCGGGCCGGGAGAAGCCACUGGCCCUGCCUCCGACCGCAGCACCUUGGGCCUCGCGUCUGCGGCACCUGGGAACACGUGGAACUCCCCAGUUAAGAGGAUCCUGGGGUACGGAUAAGUGGGGUCUGGAGGUCCCAGCAAGAUCGGAGUGCGGCGCGCCUUUCACCCUCUCUCCCGGCCUAGGCACCCUGGGGAGGAGACGGGAGUGGGGGAGGAAUCUCCGUCGCCUCGGAGGAGGUAACGACGGGGCUGUUUAUUUUUUAAAUAAACGUAGGUUUAAAAAUAAGUCCAAGUGUUUCUGCAAUCGAGUUUCCAACCCGAUCUGGGUACAGGAAGACUAAACCUGGGGCCCCACUCUCAAGUGGGCGGAUGUUGGUUGUGUGGAAAGCAGAGUCCCGCUGUGUCCUCUCUCACCUGGGAGUAUCCAUCGCCCCUUUCUCCCCAUCCGGGAACUCACUGGAUUCCCGAAAGCUCCGGAGGCCGCCGGCACGGCCUUCCUGGCCCGGGCAGACCGCUCCCGCCCCUUCCCCGGUUCCGCGCGGCUCCUGAAUUUGCCUAGGCUGGCGUGAUGGCGCUCCGCUGGGGUAGACGGGAAUGGGAAGCGAGCCCAGGUCGGGCUGGGCGCUCCCCGCUUCUUCCUGAGGUUCCAUCCUCCCGCCCCCAGCUCUCCCCCGGCCGGCUGUCCACCCAGCUGCCUGGGGUGCCCUGAGUUACCCCACGCCGCGCCCCUACCCACCGGAUUGCCUUGUGGGGGGGCCCCUCGGUGCUGAGUCGAAGGCGAGGCGCUGCGGGCGGGGCAGACAGGAAUCACCGGGCCGCCAGGUCUGCGCUCUUAGCAGCCGGCUAGCCCUGUGGGUCGAAGAUGCUCGGAGAAGGAGGAAGUGCAGAGAAAAAAGAAGUGUGUGUGUGUGUGUGUGUGUGGGGGGGAACCUAACAUACACACACGCACGCAAAACCAACUUUGGGGUUGGACUUUUUCAGUUUCACACGAAGCGACCUGGAGUAUCUGGAGAAGGUUUUUGAAGACGUUUAGGAGGGAGGGAGGUUCUCUGCUGAGAAACUCAAUCUGCCAUACAGUAGCGGCCCCAUCUGGGAUCUGUCACAGCUGACAGCACCACAGGGCACAGCCGUGAUCUUCUGCACAGCCUGCACUCCCCGAAAUACCCUCCUUAAUCAAAGGAUGUCUGCGCGCCUGGGCUCAGCUGACCGGGAGCAGAGAGCCGGCAAAUUCCACCCCCUCCCCGCCCGCCUCCUCCCCACGGACACAGCCCCGGCCCCUCUCGUCUUCCCAGCACAUUAAUUAAAAGCGGAAAAGAGACUGAAGCUGAUGUCAUUGCUCUCAGAAGAUCAUAAACGUAAAAGAGUCAUCCUGUGAGAAUCCCUGAAAAAGACUUUAAUGAAUAAUUUCAGAGACAGUUAUGGCUUUGGGUGAUUACUGAGAGAGAAUAUGAAAACCAGAUUUGGAAAGCGAAGACGAUGGUCAGGCGGCUCGGCGGCUACUUUCUCCCAGUAAAACCGCACCAGUUUUCUUCCAUGGCCAAGUUCUAGUUACAGACUUAGCUUGCGUUUUCUUCUUUUCAAAUAAAAGCAACAAACACACAGUUUUUGUUUCCUGC
rnacentral:lncRNA from 1 species